AACGAACGCUGGCGGCAUGCCUAACACAUGCAAGUCGAACGAGACCUUCGGGUCUAGUGGCGCACGGGUGCGUAACGCGUGGGAACCUGCCCUUAGGUUCGGAAUAACUCCCCGAAAGGGGUGCUAAUACCGGAUAAUGUCUUCGGACCAAAGAUUUAUCGCCUUUGGAUGGGCCCGCGUUGGAUUAGCUAGUUGGUAGGGUAAAAGCCUACCAAGGCGACGAUCCAUAGCUGGACUGAGAGGAUGAUCAGCCACACUGGGACUGAGACACGGCCCAGACUCCUACGGGAGGCAGCAGUGGGGAAUAUUGGACAAUGGGCGAAAGCCUGAUCCAGCAAUGCCGCGUGAGUGAUGAAGGCCUUAGGGUUGUAAAGCUCUUUUACCCGGGAUGAUAAUGACAGUACCGGGAGAAUAAGCGCCGGCUAACUCCGUG
rnacentral:rRNA from 1 species